rnacentral:lncRNA from 1 species
AGUAACAGGAUGUUAGCUCGGAACACAAAGUAAGGAAUGGCUGCUCUGGGGUGCUAAAGCUAGCCCAAGAUAAGAACCAGAGGAAAAGCUGCCAUCCCAUGUCCUCUGCUACAGGAUUUUCUGUCGAGUGAAAGAUCCUGGAUACAUCCCAAGUCAGCACAUACCCUUGCAUCUGGCGACUAACCGGCUGAGAGAAGGGAACACAAGCAAAUAGCACAGGAUGCCAUCUGUCUGGGGGCGUGGAUCAGUGCGUAGAAUUCAUGCUGAGGAAGUCCAGCAAUUUCUCAUGAAGUUUGACGCGCUGUCUCUGCCUAGUGCGGAUGGGAGCAGUGACUGUGUGUCCCCCGCUGUCCUUCUCAUCACAUCACGACACCUGCUGAGGAUGCUUCAGUUUGACUCCUUGCGGGUCAUCGGUUUCUUCAGACUGAGUUUCUUCUGGGUCUGCUGGCUGUCCAUCCACAUCACCUACAAGCACGGUCUGCAGAGACACAGCCUGUGCCUCCAGCAGGCAUCCAAGGCCCCGCUGCUGACCAUACUACCCUUCUGCUUCUCCCUCACGCCUAAGGCUCCUGUGAAUCCAGUGUGGAUAACUGUACACUCUGAGACUUUGGGGGGAACUCAAGAGGAGCAUCGAUGCGCUCUGGGUUCUCUUUGGGUAGAUAGGCUGUCAGGAAUUUCUUGAGCACACACCAUCUUCAGGUCCAUCUGCCUCAUCCAAAUCUUUCUCCCUACCUUGCCUUUGUGGCUCUCAAGCUGAAGAAGGCUAUUUGAGCCUAGGAUCCCCCUUUCCCCUCUCUUCUGAUUUGGUUUCCAGAGCCUUUUUACUGUGCUUGAACAUUCGCAUUCUUUACUUACGCGUUGAUUUCUCUGCCUUCAUGGAAUCUCGGUGAAGAUGAAGACACCGUCUGCUUUGAUCAUUGCUUUAUGUCUGACACGUAGAACAGCAUCUCGCACAGGGAGGAGGCUCAGAAAACAUUUGUCAGAAGAAGAAUGAAUAAAUAAAUGAGUAAACUUA